rnacentral:rRNA from 1 species
GAACGAGGAUAUAUCCUUCGGGAUAUAAGCCGAGUGGCGCAAGGGUGAGUAAUGCAUAGAUUACCUGCCUCUAGGAUAAGGACAACUUUGUGAAAACGAAGCUAAUACUUAAUAAUACAAAAGAAAAUAAUUUUCCUUUGUCAAAGGGAGGGUAGCAAUACCUUUUGCCUAGAGAGGGGUUUAUGUCCUAUCAGCUUGUUGGUGGGGUAAUGGCCUACCAAGGCGAAGACGGGUAGCCGGUCUUAGAGGAUGGUCGGCCACACUGGGACUGAGACACUGCCCAGACUUCUACGGAAGGCUGCAGUCGAGAAUCUUUCGCAAUGCCCGAAAGGGUGACGAAGCGACGCCGCGUGAGUGAGGAAGGCCUUAGGGUUGUAAAGCUCUGUCAGGAGUUAAGAAAUAUAAGUGUGUUAAUACCACAUUUAUUUGACGAAGGCUCCAAAGGAAGCCACGGCUAACUCUGUGCCAGCAGCCGCGGUAAUACAGAGGUGGCAAGCGUUGUUCGGAAUUAUUGGGCGUAAAGAGCACGUAGGUGGGUUUGUAAGUCAGAUGUGAAAGCCUUCUGUUCAACGGAAGAAUUGCAUCUGAAACUAUAAGUCUUGAGUGUAGGAGGGGAGAAUGGAACUUCUGGUGGAGCGGUGAAAUGCGUAGAUAUCAGAAGGAACGCCGGCGGCGAAAGCGAUUCUCUGGCCUAUUACUGACGCUCAGUGUGCGAAAGCUAGGGGAGCAAACGGGAUUAGAUACCCCGGUAGUCCUAGCUGUAAACGAUGGGCACUAAGUAGAGGGGAUUACCGAUGUUCUCUCUGCCGUAGCUAACGCAUUAAGUGCCCCGCCUGGGGAGUACGGCCGCAAGGCUAAAACUCAAAAGAAUUGACGGGGGCUCGCACAAGCGGUGGAGCAUGUGGCUUAAUUCGAUGCAACGCGAAAAACCUUACCGGGGCUUGACAUGGUAGAAGUAGGAACCCGAAAGGGUAACGAACGGUAUCCAGUCCGUAGCUAUCACAGGUGUUGCAUGGCUGUCGUCAGCUCGUGUCGUGAGACGUUGGGUUAAGUCCCCUAACGAGCGAAACCCUUGUUUUUAGUUACCAGCGGGUUAUGCCGGGUACUCUAGAAAGACUGCCGUCGUCAAGACGGAGGAAGGUGGGGAUGACGUCAAGUCAUCAUGGCCCUUAUGCCCCGGGCUGCACACGUGCUACAAUGGUCGGUACAAACGGAAGCGAAGCCGAGAGGUGAAGCGAAUCCUAAAAAGCCGAUCUCAGUUCGGAUUGGAGGCUGAAAUUCGCCUCCAUGAAGUUGGAAUCGCUAGUAAUCGCGGAUCAGCAAUGCCGCGGUGAAUAUGUUCCCGAGCCUUGUACACACCGCCCGUCAAGCCACCCAAGCAGGAUGCACCCGAAAACAUUAUAUCUAACCAGGGCAACUUGGAGGAAAGUGUUGAAGGAGUGUUUUGUGA